UACGUAGGGGGCUAGCGUUAUCCGGAAUUACUGGGGCGUAAAGGGUGCGUAGGUGGUUUCUUAAGUCAGAGGUGAAAGGCUACGGCUCAACCGUAGUAAGCCUUUGAAACUGGGAAACUUGAGUGCAGGAGAGGAGAGUGGAAUUCCUAGUGUAGCGGUGAAAUGCGUAUAUAUUAGGAGGAACACCAGUUGCGAAGGCGGCUCUCUGGACUGUAACUGACACUGAGGCACGAAAGCGUGGGGAGCAAACAGGAUUAGAUACCCGCGUAGUCCCUGAGCGGG
rnacentral:rRNA from 1 species